rnacentral:rRNA from 1 species
GUGGGGAAUAUUGGACAAUGGGGGGAACCCUGAUCCAGCCAUGCCGCGUGUGUGAAGAAGGCCUUUUGGUUGUAAAGCACUUUAAGCGAGGAGGAGGCUACCGAGAUUAAUACUCUUGGAUAGUGGACGUUACUCGCAGAAUAAGCACCGGCUAACUCUGUGCCAGCAGCCGCGGUAAUACAGAGGGUGCAAGCGUUAAUCGGAUUUACUGGGCGUAAAGCGCGCGUAGGUGGCCAAUUAAGUCAAAUGUGAAAUCCCCGAGCUUAACUUGGGAAUUGCAUUCGAUACUGGUUGGCUAGAGUAUGGGAGAGGAUGGUAGAAUUCCAGGUGUAGCGGUGAAAUGCGUAGAGAUCUGGAGGAAGACCGAUGGCGAAGGCAGCCAUCUGGCCUAAUACUGACACUGAGGUGCGAAAGCAUGGGGAGCAAACAGGAUUAGAUACCCGUGUAGUCC